rnacentral:rRNA from 1 species
ACGUAGGGUGCGAGCGUUAAUCGGAAUUACUGGGCGUAAAGCGUGCGCAGGCGGUUUUGUAAGUCAGAUGUGAAAUCCCCGAGCUUAACUUGGGAACUGCGUUUGAAACUACAAGACUAGAGUGUGUCAGAGGGGGGUAGAAUUCCACGUGUAGCAGUGAAAUGCGUAGAGAUGUGGAGGAAUAUCAAUGGCGAAGGCAGCCCCCUGGGAUAACACUGACGCUCAUGCACGAAAGCGUGGGGAGCGAACAGG